UAUUUAAAUUAAUCAUCUAACAUCAUAUUAAAUAAAACAUUUAAACAUUUAUUCCUACUAACUUACUAAAUCAAAGUACUAAAAAGGAAACAACAAUAACCUAAAGUAGUGAUAGCUCACGUACCUUGUGCAUUAUGGUUUUACAAGCUAUAAAUUUAUAAUAUCCUCCCGAAUUCUACACGAGCUGUCUACAUAUAGCUUAGAGCCCACUACUAGUUGUAGCAACAACUUUAGAAAAUAUGUUAACAGAGGCUACAUACCACCCGCGUUAGAAAAUUGCUGGUUUUCAGUAAAAUUUAUUAAUUAAAACAUGUAGUAACAACUACAAUGUAAGACUUCAGAGGAUAAGCCCUGUAGUCUAAAGCUAAUAAACACACCACUAAAUAAUUAGGCCUAAAAACAGCCACCUACAUUACCUUACCGUAACACUUAUAAAAUAUUUGAAACUAUAUGCACCCAAAAACUGAAAUUUAAAACAAACUUCAAAUAUUAAAAUAUUAUGUAAAAAUAAGUAUUAAGCACAAAUAAUUACUAUACUAAACCUUUUUCUCAUAAAUUAAACAAAACUUAUAAAGGAACUCAGCAAAUUCUUAUUUUUUCCGCCAAAAGAUGAAAAGUAAUUCCUGCCCAGUGACUAAGUUCAACGGCCGCGGUAUCCUAACCGUGCAAAGGUAGCAUAAUCACUUGCCCAUUAAUUGUGGGCUAGAAUGAAAGGACUAACGAAAUAAAAACUGUCUCUAUAAACCACAUAAAAAUUAAUCUCUAACUGAAGAAUGCUAGAUAUCGUCGAAGGACAAGAAGACCCUAUAGAGCUUUAUUUUAACAAAAGCCAGAAAAUUUUUAAUAAAAUUCGGUUGGGGCGACCAGGGAAUAUAAAUCAUCCCAGAUAAGUAGAUAACUUAAUCUAAACUAUGACCCUUAAACAAGAUCAACAAAUCAAGCUACCUUAGGGAUAACAGGCUAAUCCCACUAAAGAGUCCUUAUUAAUAGUGGGGGUUGGCACCUCGAUGUUGGCUUAGGGAAUCUAUGUGGCGCAAAAGUCACAUAAAGAUGGUUUGUUCAACCAAUAAUACCCUACAUGAGCUGAGUUCAGACCGGCGUAAGCCAGGUUAGUUUCUAUCCUCGAUAAAUAAUCUAUUUAUAGUACGAAAGGACCUAAAUAGAAUAAUAAUUAUAUCUUAAGAAUAAAUAUAAUAUUUAUUUAAAAUAAAAUUCCAUAAACUA
rnacentral:rRNA from 1 species